UAGAAAAUAAGAUUUAAUAGAAUUUAUUUUGAAAUCUCUUUUAAGACUAGAAAAUUAUUAUAAUCUGACUAUGCACAUGUAUUCCACAUAUAAUAUUAUUAGUUAACUUGCUAGAAUUGCUUGAGUUUUGAGAUAGUAUAUAUAUUUAUAUAUAUUUGAACAUGAUUUAAUGUAUUACAAUUGUAUAUAAAUAUAUAUAGAAACUUUGAUGUUUUUUAUUUUUUAUUUUCUGCACAAUUGUGUUUUUACUUAUUCAUAAUUAUACAUUAAGGUGUAUCAAUAAAAACAUUAUAUCUAUCAGUUGUUAUAAGAUUCUAAAAAUAUGAGUGCCAAACCUCUUCUUCUUUUUUACUAUGUUUUAAUUAAAUAAAUCAUAAUUGUAGAUGUAAGGUUAAUAACACACAUCUGAAUUCUACAAGCAUUGUUUUUUGUCAUAAAAAGUAUUGUAUGUAAGAUGUCACUCUUCACCUGUACAAUAUUGCACCAGCAUUCACCAAUUUGCCAUUAUAUCCCUAAAUGAUUGGUACCUACACUAAUAAGUUCAUUCCCCAUAAUUCAAUGAUUAGCUUGUGUGUGUGCUUUGUAACAAGUCCAAAGCAAUUGCACAUGGAAUUGCUUCUCAAAGUUGCCUUUGCAAAGUCCACUCUUUACAAACCAAGAUAAAUUUAUUAAAAUACAUCUCAUUGGAUCUCCUAUUCCAGUGAUGAGAUUCAAAAGCAUGCUUAGGGUACCUUUUUGUAAUGAAUUAGAGCAUGUGUUUAUAUUGCCAAAUAAAGAAAUGUAAUGUGGCAUCAAUUGGGUUCACCCAAUAGUUGUAGAGGAAGUGUCCUUUUUGUCCCUUUUUAAUGAAUUUGUUUUGUGGGUGCCAGGUUGUCAUGGAGCUCUUUCCAUCUGGAAUCUCAGUUCUGGGUCCUUGUGUGCUAUGGUGUUUUGCGGUGUAAUUUGUUCAUUUUCGUCUCAAAAAAAACACUAAUCUCUUGUCAAAUCUGUGAGGUGAAUAAAAUAUGCAUAAAACCAACCAACCGCUUCAAAUAAGUUAAUUUCAAUCAAUCAUUAGUAUUUACUUCCUUAUUGUUCUUUUCAUGACUAGUUGCAAAAUGAUAAGCUUACUGUGCUAAAUGCAUGGCAGCAGAUUGUGAAACCAUGUUGUUUGACAUGAUCCAUCAAAAUGGAACCCUAAUGAUUUAUCUAAAAAAUAUUGCAUAGUUCAAGUUUGUUGGAUACUUGUCUUAAAACAUGGAACAGAAGUAAAAAAUCUCCCAAAACUUUAUUGAAAGAAUAAUAAGAUUCAUGAUUUGGUAUUAGUAACUUAUCAAAUUGCUUAUCUUGUGUUGCAUUGCAAAAAAAGUAAUAAGAUGCAUUCCAUCCAUUCACCUGUAUUCACAGUCAUUCACAGUCAUGUUUU
rnacentral:lncRNA from 1 species